ACCCUCUCCACAUAACUCAACUCUGUCGCCCCCCUUGAGCGACCUGAAGCGUCCCUCCACACCCUUUCACUGUCUUCCAUGUCUUCCAUCUCCAGUGUAACGUCUUCCUCUAUAACGGUAAUUGAAGCAAUUCAAUGCUCUCUCUUUGAAUAAGACCCACUACUAUUUCUUAAAUUGGCGUUAGUUUAAGACGACGACGAGCUUCGGUCGUAAUCCAAAAAGAGGAAGAGACUGAAAUCGAAAGAAGAAAAAAAUGCCGAUAAUGGAGAAAUUGAGGAUGUUCGUAGCGCAGGAACCAGUCGUUGCUCGGGGGUGUUGCUGGCCGUCUUCACCAACAGAUCGUCGGAAGAAUGCUUCGUCACUUUGCCUGCCCGCAACGUCAAAAAAGAAAGCCAACUCCAUGGGCCAUCUCAUUGAUGAGAAGGUUGUAUCCAUCUCAAUUAGACUUUUCAGUUAUUCGAUGUUUUCAUUUGUAUCUGAUUUCAAGAUCUUCUCUAGAGUUGUGUCAUGGAAGGGUCGAUCAAUGUCAACCAUAUGGCAUCUACAAAUUCCUUAUAUACAGUGUUCCCGAUUUAGAAAGAGAGGUUAUAAAUUUCAUAGAGUUGUUAGGCAAAGAAGAUGAUCCAGAUUCAUACAGAUUUGUGAAAUCCCCAAAAUUAAUCACUGACCUUAUAGAUUCUAUAGCUGGAGCUGUUUAUAUAGAUGUGAAUCUUGAUGUUAAAAGACUCUAGGAGAUAAUGGGAAGUCUUUUGGAGCCAGUNUGAAUA